GGGGACUCUAUAAAGCCCUUUUAAAGCGAAGCAUUUGUGCUAUGAGGAAAAACUCUACUGUGCACACAGAGAACAGAGCUCAAUGCUAACUGGGGGAGCAGCUGGACAACUAGAAGAGAGAAUAGUAGAACACUAUUAUUAAUACAGAUUCCUGGAUUAUUUUUCUGCAAGAACCAAAACAAGCAAAGACUGAUGAUGAGUGCUCUGAGCAAACACCGCAGUCAAGACGCAUGAGUGACUUUACUGAGUUCUUCAUGUAAUGUUGGGCAUUUACUGUACGCAGAACUUCUAAUAAUUUAUGUGGAUGCCAUUUAAACCUGUUAGAUUUUGAUGUUUUAGUUUUGAGAUUAAUAAAAUGUUAUGCUUUAACAA